rnacentral:rRNA from 1 species
UACGUAGGGUGCAAGCGUUAUCCGGAAUUAUUGGGCGUAAAGAGCUCGUAGGCGGUCUGUCACGUCGGAUGUGAAAAUCCAGGGCUUAACCCUGGACCUGCAUUCGAUACGGGCAGACUAGAGUUCGGUAGGGGAGACUGGAAUUCCUGGUGUAGCGGUGAAAUGCGCAGAUAUCAGGAGGAACACCGGUGGCGAAGGCGGGUCUCUGGGCCGAUACUGACGCUGAGGAGCGAAAGCGUGGGGAGCAAACAGG